rnacentral:rRNA from 1 species
UCCGUAGGCGGUGCGGCAAGUCGGAAGUGAAAUCUCUGGGCUUAACCCAGAGGCUGCUUCCGAAACUGCCGUGCUAGAGUGCGAGAGAGGCGAGUGGAAUUGCGGGUGUAGCGGUGAAAUGCGUAGAUAUCCGCAGGAACAUCCGAGGCGAAAGCGGCUCGCUGGAUCGCAACUGACGCUGAGGGACGAAAGCUAGGGGAGCAAACAGGAUUAGAUACCCUGGUAGUCCUAGCCCUAAACCAUCAGGACUUGGGGUUUGCCCUGUACGAGGCAAGUCCCGUAGCUAACGCGUUAAGUCCUGCGCCUGGGGAGUACGGUCGCAAGGCUGAA